rnacentral:lncRNA from 1 species
UGAGCUUCAAGGCUGUGCCCGCAGAGGAGGAAGAAGAUGUCACUUCAUGGAGGCAGGAGAGGGAGAGAGAAGAAACCGGUCCCCUGCCAAGGGCAACAUGUCAGCCUUCCAGCAAGUCCCCGAAGGUCGGAACCUUCGAGACGAGUGAAUUUGGAUUUCAUCUUAGGAAAAGCUCCGAGUGUGGCACCAGGACGUGAUACGCUGAGGUUAUUUGCGGAAGGCGGGACGGAGGCGACUGAACCAUCACUGCCGCGUCUGAUUUUUGUUUCAGUUUAAGUGCUUGACU